rnacentral:RNase_P_RNA from 1 species
CCUGUGCAUCGCUCUGUCGCUCUUUCGGCCCUCGGGUCGGAAGGGAGGAAAGUCCGGGCAGCAAAGGGCACCAUGCUUCCUAACGGGAAGGGGCAUCGCUGGGAACGGCGGUGUCACGGAAAGUGCCACAGAAAGGGAAACUACCCCGGCUUGCCGGGGCAAAGGUGAAAAGGUGGAGUAAGCGCCCACCAGCACUGGUGGUGACAUCGGUGGCUUGGUAAACCCCAUGGGCUGAAAGACCAAAUAGGCCGGUAGUUCCGAGCGAUCGGGACCGGGGCGGCCCGUCCUGUUCCGGUGGGUAGGUCGAUAGACCCCGUCAGCAAUGGCGGGGCCAGAUAGAUGGCAGAGGUCCUCCGUGAGGUGGAUACAGGACCCGGCUUACAGAUGCACAGGCCUU